UUUUAUAUAAUUUAAUAAAAAAAAAAUAUUUUACUUUCAUUAAAAAAAUGACUACUCGCAGUCUAUAAAAU
rnacentral:tRNA from 1 species